UCCUCCGUGGCGCAAUUGGCUAGCGCGUCUGACUGUUAUCCUUGCGAGCUUAUCAGGAGGUUGAAAGUUCGAGCCUUUCCGGGGGAG
rfam:Phaeosphaeria nodorum SN15 scaffold_4, whole genome shotgun sequence.